rnacentral:rRNA from 1 species
GAAAGCAGGGGAUCGCAAGACCUUGCGCUUUUGGAGCGGCCGAUGUCUGAUUAGCUAGUUGGUGAGGUAAAGGCUUACCAAGGCGUCGAUCAGUAGCUGGUCUGAGAGGACGACCAGCCACACUGGGACUGAGACACGGCCCAGACUCCUACGGGAGGCAGCAGUGGGGAAUUUUGGACAAUGGGGGAAACCCUGAUCCAGCCAUGCCGCGUGAGUGAAGAAGGCCUUCGGGUUGUAAAGCUCUUUCAGCCGGAACGAAACGGUCACAGCUAAUACCUGUGACUACUGACGGUACCGGAAGAAGAAG